AUUGAACGCUGGCGGCAGGCCUAACACAUGCAAGUCGAGCGAGCGGCGGACGGGGGAGAAAUGUAUGGGGACUGCCCGAUAGAGGGGGAGAACUACAGGAAACGGUAGCUAAUACCGCAUACUAUCGGAUAACCCAUAUGGGAUUAGCUAGUAGGUGAGGUAAUGGCUCACAUAGGCGACGAUCCCUAGCUGGUCUGAGAGGAUGAUCAGCCACACUGGGACUGGGACCCGGCCCCGACUCCUACGGAGGCAGCAGUGGGGAAUAUUGCCCAAUGGGCGCAGGCCGACUGCAGCACUGCCGCGUGUAUGAAGAAGGCCUUAGGGUUGUAAAGUACUUUCAGUCGGGAGGCGUUACCGGCAGAAGAAGCACCGGCUAACUCCGUGCCAGCAGCCGCGGUAAUAC
rnacentral:rRNA from 1 species